rnacentral:rRNA from 1 species
CAAAUCAGGUAGGAUUACCCGCUGAACUUAAGCAUAUCAAUAAGCGGAGGAAAAGAAACUAACAAGGAUUCCCCUAGUAACUGCGAGUGAAGCGGGAAAAGCUCAAAUUUAAAAUCUGGCGGUCUUUGGCCGUCCGAGUUGUAGUCUGGAGAAGUGCUUUCCGCGCUGGACCGUGUACAAGUCUCUUGGAACAGAGCGUCAUAGAGGGUGAGAAUCCCGUCUUUGACACGGACUACCAGUGCUUUGUGAUGUGCUCUCAAAGAGUCGAGUUGUUUGGGAAUGCAGCUCAAAAUGGGUGGUAAAUUCCAUCUAAAGCUAAAUAUUGGCGAGAGACCGAUAGCGAACAAGUACCGUGAGGGAAAGAUGAAAAGCACUUUGGAAAGAGAGUUAAACAGUACGUGAAAUUGCUGAAAGGGAAACGCUUGAAGUCAGUCGCGUUGGCCAGGACUCAGCCUUGCUUAUUUGCUUGGUGCAUUUUCUGGUUGACGGGCCAGCAUCGAUUUUGACCGCUGGAAAAAGAUUAGGGGAAUGUGGCACCUUCGGGUGUGUUAUAGCCCUUAGUCACAUACAGUGGUUGGGAUCGAGGACCGCAGCACGCCUUUAUGGCCGGGGUUCGCCCACGUUCGUGCUUAGGAUGCUGGCGUAAUGGCUUUAAACGACCCGUCUUGAAACACGGACCAAGGAGUCUAACAUGCCUGCGAGUGUUUGGGUGGAAAACCCGAGCGCGUAAUGAAAGUGAAAGUUGAGAUCCCUGUCGUNGGGGAGCAUCGACGCCCGGACCUGAACUUCGGUGAUGGAUCUGCGGUAGAGCAUGUAUGUUGGGACCCGAAAGAUGGUGAACUAUGCCUGAAUAGGGUGAAGCCAGAGGAAACUCUGGUGGAGGCUCGUAGCGAUUCUGACGUGCAAAUCGAUCGUCAAAUUUGGGUAUAGGGGCGAAAGACUAAUC